GUAGGUGGCAAGCGUUGUCCGGAAUUAUUGGGCGUAAAGCGCGCGCAGGCGGUUCUUUAAGUCUGAUGUGAAAGCCCACGGCUCAACCGUGGAGGGUCAUUGGAAACUGGAGAACUUGAGUACAGAAGAGGAGAGCGGAAUUCCACGUGUAGCGGUGAAAUGCGUAGAGAUGUGGAGGAACACCAGUGGCGAAGGCGGCUUUCUGGUCUGUAACUGACGCUGAGGCGCGAAAGCGUGGGGGGAGCAAACAGGAUUAGAUACCCUGGUAGUCCACGCCGUAAACGAUGAGUGCUAAGUGUUAGGGGGUUUCCGCCCCCCCCUUAGUGCUGCAGCUAACGCAUUAAGCACUCCGCCUGGGAGUACGGCCGCAAGGCUG
rnacentral:rRNA from 1 species